rnacentral:rRNA from 1 species
GGUGAAAAGCACCCCGGAAGGGGAGUGAAAUAGAACCUGAAACCGUGUGCUUACAAGUAGUCAGAGCCCGUUAAUGGGUGAUGGCGUGCCUUUUGUAGAAUGAACCGGCGAGUUACGAUUUGAUGCAAGGUUAAGCAGUAAAUGUGGAGCCGUAGCGAAAGCGAGUCUGAAUAGGGCGUUUAGUAUUUGGUCGUAGACCCGAAACCAGGUGAUCUACCCUUGGUCAGGUUGAAGUUCAGGUAACACUGAAUGGAGGACCGAACCGACUUACGUUGAAAAGUGAGCGGAUGAACUGAGGGUAGCGGAGAAAUUCCAAUCGAACCUGGAGAUAGCUGGUUCUCUCCGAAAUAGCUUUAGGGCUAGCCUCAAGUGAUGAUUAUUGGAGGUAGAGCACUGUUUGGACGAGGGGCCCCUCUCGGGUUACCGAAUUCAGACAAACUCCGAAUGCCAAUUAAUUUAACUUGGGAGUCAGAACAUGGGUGAUAAGGUCCGUGUUCGAAAGGGAAACAGCCCAGACCACCAGCUAAGGUCCCAAAAUAUAUGUUAAGUGGAAAAGGAUGUGGCGUUGCCCAGACAACUAGGAUGUUGGCUUAGAAGCAGCCAUCAUUUAAAGAGUGCGUAAUAGCUCACUAGUCGAGUGACACUGCGCCGAAAAUGUACCGGGGCUAAACAUAUUACCGAAGCUGUGGAUUGUCCUUUGGACAAUGGUAGGAGAGCGUUCUAAGGGCGUUGA